UACUCGAGUGGCGAACGGGUGAGUAACACGUGGGUGAUCUGCCCUGCACUUCGGGAUAAGCCUGGGAAACUGGGUCUAAUACCGGAUAGGAGCCAUUUUUAGUGUGAUGGUUGAAAGUUUUUUCGGUGUAGGAUGAGCUCGCGGCCUAUCAGCUUGUUGGAGGGGUAAUGGCCUACCAAGGCGGCGACGGGUAGCCGGCCUGAGAGGGUGGACGGCCACAUUGGGACUGAGAUACGGCCCAG
rnacentral:rRNA from 1 species